AGCUUUGCGAAGUGGCAGUAUCGUAGCCAAUGAGGUUUAUCUGAGGUGCGAUUAUUGCUAAUUGAAAACUUUUCCUGAUAAAACCAUGGCCAGACUUAUCAAAAAGAAAAAAGAAAGGACCCAAAUAAAUAAAAUCAUGAAUGA